GAGGGUAUGGCUCAGUGGUAGAGUGUGUGCUUAGCAUGCAUGAGGUCCUGGGUUCAACCCCCAGUACCUCCA
rnacentral:tRNA from 1 species